AUUUCACAAAAUAACUAUUCCUGAAAGCAACAUACAUCAAAGUUGCUGGUGAACGCAGCAGGCCAGGCAGCAUCUAUAGGAAGAGGCGCAGUCGACGUUUCAGGCCGAGACCCUUCGUCAGGACUAACUGAAGGAAGAAUUUCCACAAACUAUCCACGUUCAGGCGAAGUAUGCUUAUGACAAGUUU